rnacentral:lncRNA from 7 species
UGGAGGCAUUCAAGGCCAAGCUACCCAUGUUUGCCUUCUGUAGUUAUCAGUGGGGCAAGAGGAAAAUGAAGAGUACAAUGAAGUACAGAGUGCUUUUCUUGUCUUGUUCAACUGCAAGUUCCUGUUUUCUCAAAGGCAAAAACAAUUAAGGCUCAGCAAAAACAGUUAAGGCAGUCAUUUUAAGUAUUAAUUUCUGAUGAUGGUGGCUGCCUGUGUUCGGAGGUCACACUUAGUUGAAUCACACUGCGCCUGUGGAAAUUCUGCUGAGCAAUUAGCAAAAAUACCCUUGUCAUUAGGAAGAAACAAGAACACUGUUGUCCAUAAAGUAAUCAGUGGCGUUUAAGCAAGUGACACCUCUUUGUUUUACAGGAGAAAAAAACGACAGGAAAGAUUGCUUCACGUGUAAUGAAAAGCUAGUGUCCAGAAGAUCACUGCGGCCAGAUGCCAAUUUUGAUGCCCUCGUCAGUAAGACUUGUCCAAGCCCUGAUGUAUGUGAAGCUCAUCAGGAGGGAAUGCUGGCAAGAAUCAGCUAACACAAUAGCAGCAAGCUUUCAGUGACAGCGUUAAGGAAGGGUGACGAUUCAGGCUGGGAGCAGGUAUGUCAUCCCCUGACUUGACCACAUGUAACUUGAUGCUAGAAGUACACCACGUCCUCCCUCCCUGCAUGGCAAGAGAUGGCUCUCUUCUCCUGCAAAGGCAGCCCAAGUAACUUCUGUGUGCUGACUAGGGAGAGAAAACUUGGUGUCACUCCUUGCAAGUCCUGUGGCAGCCAGAUAUUGUGUGAUGAGACUUGCUGUCUAUUUACUGUGUUUGGCCUCUUGGCUUUGCCAUGAUAUACACGAGUAAAGCAAAUGAAU